GCUGGAGGUGAACAAGACAAGCUAUGACAGGUGCAUUGAAAAAAAUUUCAUAAAAAAUGUUACAAAGGGUGGACGAGAUGUGUUUAAUCUCACAGAGGCAAAACCAUACUAUUUUAUUAACAGUGGUGACUACUGCUUUAAGGGUAUGAAGCUUGCACUGUGUGUUGAAAAUGCCCCUCCUGAUCCAACAUAUUCACUGCUAAGGAAUAGUUCUCCAACAAAGAUUAUGGCCCCAUUAUCCUUCUUCCUUUGCUUGGCUAUGUUGCAGUGCGGAUCUUGUUUGUCCAAUACGUUUAAGUUAAUUAUAUGAUAUUAUAAAAAUAGUGAUAGGCUCU
rnacentral:misc_RNA from 1 species